UUGAUGCAGGUAUUCAAUAUCCAUUUAGGUAUCAAUAUCCAUGUGGAUAUUGGCUAUAGCUAUUCAGGAUUGAUGCAGGUAUUCAAUAUCCAUUUAGGUAUCAAUAUCCAUGUGGAUAUUGGCUAUAGCUAUUCAGGAUUGAUGCAGGUAUUCAAUAUCCAUUUAGGUAUCAAUAUCCAUGUGGAUAUUGGCUAUAGCUAUUCAGGAUUGAUGCAGGUA